rnacentral:tRNA from 1 species
GUUCCUGUAGUUAAAUGUUAAUAACAAUGGCUUUUCAAGCCGUAGAUCCUGGAUAGAGUCCUGGCGGGAAUU